CUUGUGAAGAAAGUUACCCUAUCAUUACCGAACACCUCAAGUCAGUCACAUACCUGGCGCAAGGAAACUAAACAAGUCAUUAUGUAUUUUUAACAUGCAACCAGCUUUUCUGUAUGUUGAUCACAUGGAGUUGCCUUUCAAGUUUUUUAUCGCUAAACCAGAUAAACAAACAAGGAAAAUCUAUUUUCUCUUGCUUUGAUGAAUUACAUGUAAUUUUUCCAAGAGAAAUUGGUUUUUGUGCUUAAAAUUAAUAAUGAGUACCUUUGAACAUAAACCAUAUCAGGUUAAAACGUAGAUUCAUUAUGUAGCUAGCCUGAGGGCAAUUUAUUGUGCAGCAUAAUAAUGGUAGCUAAAUUUCAUUUCAUUUUUACCACAGGAUUAACAAACCCAGCUCGGAAUUGGUGACAGUAUUCAUUGGAGAAGGAAAAUGUGUCUAAAAUUUUCUAAAGAGUGUAAUUUCCUUGGAGCUGUGUAAUGAUGUUUCUAUUUGGAAUAUAUAUUCAAUUAUAAUAUGGAAUUUGAUUCUACUUGGAUCUAUAUAUAUAUCAGUAAUGUAAUAAUCUGACAAAAUGCUUUCAAGGAUUACAUUCUGAAGAUUUAAUGAGAUAGCACGGCCUUCAGGAAAUAUGAAGAAGAUACUUUCUGGAAUAUGAACAGGAUCAACAUUCUAGAAUGUGAAAAGGAUAUUUUCUGGGUUCAGUUACAAAUAAGAAGAAAAGGAAUCCAUGCAUUCAGCACAGAACAGAAUAUUAUGGAAUUUUGCAUACAAAGGGAGUUAACACCAUCACAAAAGUUAAUACAUAUAACAAGGAAAGCAGAGUUGUCUCCCAUGCCUUUAUUAUACAGCUUAUGUAAAUGGGAUGUCUUGAUGAGAAAUGAUGAAUGAAAUUUGUGUAUCAAAUGUGUUUUAUCAACAAAGAAUGGAAGAAAAAAAAUACUUACAGGGAAAAAACCAGGAGGCAUUGGCCCCCCUGGUGGCAUUCCAUCCUGUGGGGGCAUUUGUCCUAACGGACUCUGUGCUGCUGGAUUCUGAAAAGAUAUAAAACAAAACUGUGAGAACAUAAAACAGAGGGAAAUAUUCAAGAUGACAUAUAAUAUUUGAUAAAAGAAAUCAACCUGAUGUUGAAAAUGAUGUUAUUCAUUAAGGAAAUAAUGUGAUUGUUUUAAGCUGUUAUCUGAAAAUUAAAGAAUGAAAUGUGUAAAUUCUUGAUAAUGCCAUGAAAUGUACAUCUCAGGAAGGAGUAUUUUCAUACUGAAAGUAAAAAUCAUAGAAGGUGACAAAUUUAGCAAUACCCAGCAAU